rnacentral:rRNA from 1 species
AGCGACCCCAGGUCAGGCAAGACUACCCGCUGAGUUUAA